rnacentral:rRNA from 1 species
AGUGAACGCUGGCGGUAGGCCUAACACAUGCAAGUCGAACGGCAGCACAGUAAGAGCUUGCUCUUACGGGUGGCGAGUGGCGGACGGGUGAGGUAUACAUCGGAAUCUACUUUUUCGUGGGGGAUAACGAAGGGAAACUUACGCUAAUACCGCAUACGACCUACGGGUGAAAGCAGGGGAUCUUCGGACCUUGCGCGAUUGAAUGAGCCGCUGUCGGAUUAGCUAGUUGGCGGGGUAAAGGCCCACCCAGCGGGCGAUCCGUAGCUGGUCUGAGAGGAUGGUCAGCCACACGGGAACUGGAACGCGGUCCAGACUCCUACGGGAGGCAGCAGUGGGGAAUAUUGGACAAUGGGCGCAAGCCUGAUCCAGCCAUACCGCGUGGGUGAAGGAGGCCUUCGGGUUGUAAAGCCCUUUUGUUGGGAAAGAAAAGCAGCAGGUUAAUACCCCGCUGUUCUGACGGUACCCAAAGAAUAAGCACCGGCUAACUUCGUG